rnacentral:lncRNA from 1 species
UCUCUCUCUCCUCUCUCCUCUCCCUCCUCUCUCUCUCUCUCUCUCUCCUCUCCUCUCUCCUCUCUCUCUCUCUCCUCUCUCCCCCCCUCUCUCUCUCUCUCUCUCUCUGUGUGUAGGAGGCCAUGCAGCAGUGGUACCAACACUACCAGACUCAGAGUUAUAGCAGUGCCAACCAAGAGGGCACCGCAGUCAGUGAAUACAGCAAGGAACAGCCUCAGGCCCCAGCCACGUCCUCCUACGACUACAGCUCCUACAUGCAGGCUCUCAGUCACUACUACUCUCAGACCCAGAUGAACCCCGCAGCUGUGCAGGCCUAUCAGCACCGAGACGCCGGCAAAGUAGGAACACACACUCAUGGACACAGACACACACACUCAUGGACACACACACUCAUGGACACACACACUCAUGGACACACACACUCAUGGACACACACACUCAUGGACACAGACACACACACUCAUGGACACACACACACACACACACACACACACACACACACACAGACACACACACACACACACACACACACACACACACACACACACACACACACACACACACACACACACACACACACAUAUAAACACAGACACACACAUAUAAACACAGACACACACACAUGCAUAAACAUGAUCGUUCAUUGCUUCACACAUAUGAUGUGCACUUAUGUCUCUCACAUGGACAGCCAUCCAGUCUCCACACACAUGCUUGUUAUUCCCAAACAUGCACACAUACAGAGUCCAUUAACUCACUCUACACACACACAUAUACACACACGUUCAGAGUCCAUUAACAUACACACUCUACACACACACAUAUACACACACACGUUCAGAGUCCAUUAACAUACACACUCUACACACACACAUAUACACACACAACAUACUCACUCUACACACACAUAUACACACACAUUCAGAGUCCAUUAACAUACUCACUCUACACACACAUAUAUACACACACGUUCAGAGGCCAUUAACAUACUCACUCUACACACAUGUAUACACACAUAUACACACGCGUUCAGAGCCCAUUAACAUACUCACUCUACACACACAUAUACACACACAACAUACUCACUCUACACACACAUAUACACACACGUUCAGAGCCCAUUCACCUACUCACUCUACACACACACACAUAUACACACACGUUCAGAGCCCAUUAACAUACACACUCUACACACACAUAUACACACACACGUUCUUUACAGCAUGUAUACAGACAAGCUCAGUAUAGUCCCUCCUUGGACGUAGAUGCUUCAUUUGCAUACAUUGGGACGAAUUACAUUAGAAAACUGUAGGGUCUUGGUAAUUCAAUUCCAUCGUCAUCAUCGUGUGUGUGUGUGUGUGUGUGUGUGUGUGUGUGUGUGUGUGUGU